rnacentral:Y_RNA from 1 species
GGCUGGUCGGAAGGCAGUGACUUAUCUCACUUGAUGGUUCACUGUCAGUUACAGAUUGAACUCCUUAUUCUACUACUUUCCCCCCUUCUCACUACUGUACUUGACUAGUCUAAA